UACGAAGGGUGCAAGCGUUAAUCGGAAUUACUGGGCUUAAAGGGUGCGUAGGCGGUUCGUUAAGUCUGUCGUGAAAUCCCCGGGCUCAACCUGGGAAUGGCGAUGGAUACUGGCGAGCUAGAGUGUGUCAGAGGAUGGUGGAAUUCCCGGUGUAGCGGUGAAAUGCGUAGAGAUCGGGAGGAACAUCAGUGGCGAAGGCGGCCAUCUGGGACAACACUGACGCUGAAGCACGAAAGCGUGGGGAGCAAACAGG
rnacentral:rRNA from 1 species